rnacentral:rRNA from 1 species
GACGAACGCUGGCGGCGUGCUUAACACAUGCAAGUCGAACGGUGAAGCGCCUUCCUUUUUGGUGGGUGUGGAUGAGUGGCGAACGGGUGAGUAACACGUGAGUAACCUGCCCCCUUCUUCUGGAUAACCGCAUGAAAGGGUGGCUAAUACGGGAUAUUCUGGGUCUGUCGCAUGAUGGGUCUGGGAAAGAUAUUGUUUCGGUGGGGGAUGGGCUCGCGGCCUAUCAGCUUGUUGGUGGGGUGAUGGCCUACCAAGGCGGUGUCGGGUAGCCGGCCUGAGAGGGUGGACGGUCACACUGGGACUGAGACACGGCCCAGACUCCUACGGGAGGCAGCAGUGGGGAAUAUUGCACAAUGGGCGCAAGCCUGAUGCAGCGACGCCGCGUGAGGGAUGGAGGCCUUCGGGUUGUGAACCUCUUUCGCCAGUGAAGCAGGCCUGCCUCGUUUGUGGGUGGGUUGACGGUAGCUGGAUAAGAAGCGCCGGCUAACUACGUG